rnacentral:lncRNA from 1 species
CCAUUCCUUUUUUUCUUUUUUGUUGCAUUAAAUGUUGAUGGUGAGCCAUUUUCUUCUUCAAAUUUCAUUGCAUGCAUAUGACUUGAAGUAGAUUGAAAUUGACUAUGAACAUGACUUAGAUUUGUAAAUGGCAUGACUUAGAUUUGUAAAUGGAAUGAGCAUAUUAACAUGGUUUAUGAACAUAGCUAUGACUUGGUGAAACAAGGCUAAGGUCAAGAUACAAUAGGC